CCAGCAUAUGCGCAAGUUAUUGGUUAGUAAACCUAAUUCAAAAGAAAAAAGCAUAAUGAAAAUAAAGAUUAUCUUUGUUAUAAUGAUGUGAUCCAUAUAUAUAUAUUUGUAUAUGUAAAGUAUAUCAUAUGGUGUAACAUAACCCCAUUCCUGUUGCAUGCAAUCGGGCGGAGGUAGCGUUAUAUUCUGGGACUCGAAAGUGAACUAUACCUAAGUAGGAUGAAGCCAGAGGAAACUCUGGUGAGGGUCCGAAGCGAUUUUGACGUGCAAAUCGAUCGUCUGACUUUGAUAUUGGGGGGACAAAUCGAACUAUCAUCUAGUAGCUGG
rnacentral:ncRNA from 1 species